rnacentral:rRNA from 1 species
CGCUGGCGGCGUGCCUAAUACAUGCAAGUCGAACGGUCUUUCUAUGGAAGCUUGCUUCCACUGAAAAGAUAGUGGCGAACGGGUGAGUAACACGUGGGGUAACCUGCCCAUAAGAGGGGGAUAACAUCCGGAACGGGUGCUAAUACCGCAUAGUUUUUCUUGAUCGCAUGAUCGGGAAAGGAAAGACGGCCUUUGUGCUGUCGCUUAUGGAUGGACCCGCGGCGUAUUAGUUAGUUGGUGAGGUAACGGCUCACCAAGACGAUGAUACGUAGCCGACCUGAGAGGGUGAUCGGCCACAUUGGGACUGAGACACGGCCCAAACUCCUACGAGAGGCAGCAGUAGGGAAUCUUCCGCAAUGGACGAAAGUCUGACGGAGCAACGCCGCGUGAGUGAAGAAAGGUUUUCGGAUCGUAAAACUCUGUUGUCAGAGAAGAACAAGUUGGAGAGUAACUGCUCCAGCCUUGACGGUAUCUGACCAGAGAGCCACGGCUAACUACGUGCCAGCCGCCGC